GGGUAGAACCGUUGAUUUUGCGGUGAAUUUACAUGGGAUGUGCCAUUGGUUGGGCAAUGUAGGUACUAUUGUUGGGGAAGAUGAGUUGGUAUCAUUUAAUUUAAGUGAUGAAACCUUCAUUAGGACACCCUUGAUUCAUGUUGAUGAUGGCCCUUUUAUCGUACAUUUAGUGGUGUUGAAAGAGUCGAUUGCUCUGAUGGAGAUGGACGAUUAUGG
rnacentral:lncRNA from 1 species